GUCCCUUCCAACUUGGGAUAUUCUAUGAGCACAGAAUCAAUUCACAGUGGCCACCAUCACCUGAGACAGAUGGCUCUGUGGUGGUGUCCCUGGAGCGCAUCGCACGCAAGGUUUGAUUUCUCUACUUGAAAGUGCUGACUCCAUCCCUGUCACCAUGGGGAAGAGGACAAGCAGAAACCAGACUGGCCCCAUCGAACAUCAAACACUUGACCAAGGAUGCAUAUUGGAGCUCAGUAUCCCAAAGCACUGCCUGAUCUGUGAGCUGCAAGCACUCACCCACCCUCCUGCGUCAAGGAGAGAGCAGCAAGCUGUCAGAGGUGGAGCCCAGGCCCGGAUGCUCUCUGGAUUGCCUACCCUCCCCAGACAAAUCUAAAGUCACUCUUCCUGCUCCCUUCAUACCAAAGAAAUGAGCAUUUCUACUAAAGCAAUGCUUCCUCCUCCGUUUUUGCCAAAGAGCUGUUUUCUCAUUUACUCUUACUUCAAGCUGCUCACUACCAAAAAGAAUCAAAAAGUAGAAUUUGUUUAAAGACCCUUUGAGAGCUACAAAAAAUCACACAGAAUUCCUACAAAGUCCAUUUUGGGACAUUGUUCCUCAGCUGUUCCAGUUUUUAAUAGGUUGUCAUUUAUGCUGUUGUUCCUCAAACUGUCUCGUGUUUAAUUUUGUAAAUUUACAUAAGGAAUGCAGAAUCAUGAAACCAAAGUUACAGAUGCUUUACAGCCAAUCAAAAACAAACCUCAAAUAUUAUUUUGCUCAUCUUUUAUUUGUCAGUGGUCUUUUUUAGAGACUUCAUAUAGGUUUUGCUUUACAUUUAUGUAAUCAGACUGCUUUUUAUUGCAGCAGAAAGCUUCCUGCUUGGAAUGCAUUUAGUUCACAAGAAAAUGCUUAUUUAUUCAAACCAAACGUUUUUUGCUGUGCUGUAAGUCAGGCUCACUGUGACUGUCUGUCUCUGCUCCAAUUAAUAUUUAAUUAUUUAUUCAAAUUAGAGCAGCUUCUAUGGGACUGUGCCAGUCCAGAAUAGCCAAUAAGCUGGGGGACAGAACAGGCAUUUGCAGGUACCCCAAGUUCAAACUCCUAUGGUGAUUUAAUCUGGGGGUCUGAGAGGCAGGACGAUGACCACCUCCCCAGUGAUAAGAAUCACAGCCAACCUAUUUUGACUUGCUGCUGAGAAUCUCAGUGUCAAGAUCAAAGUCGGAUCUGUUGCCUCAUAUGAAAAGUGGGGAUGAGACUAAAUUACUUCACAGAAAUGUGCUGAAUAAUUAGCAGUUGUAUGGUGUUUUGACAUUGCAUGUUUUUUAGGUGGAGGAAGGGAUAUUGUUAUGAACACAAUUUCCUAACUGUUCGUGUGUGCCACUCAUUGUAAAUCUUCAAUCAGAAUUGGGCCCAGGAAUGGCAAAAAGAUUCCAGAUGUAUAAAGAUAUAAUGUAUGAAAAAGAAACAUCACCGUUUCAUAUUGGUCAACAUUAUAUGGUUACCAAGUCUGUUUUUCACAAAUACAAGCAGAGCUACAAAGAAGUAAUCCUGUCUAGACUUAUUUAUGUUGUUUUCAUAUUCAAGGCUUGCUAGACCCCACAUAAUCAAAUCUUUAAGUUCAGUGAAACUGUAUUUUGAACACAUUCAGGAAUUACAAAUAUAAAAUUUUAGUUAUGCUCUUUUUUUCCUAGAAAUACUUUAUGUAAUGUCCUGUAAUAUUCAUGAAUAUUUGUGUGCAGACAACUCCACAGUAAAAUCUUCCCUGGAUGCUAGCAGAAGUACCUCACCACCUACCCCAGUAAUGCCCUACAUUGUAAAACUUCUUUGUGAGCUGGCAUAUGAGUACCAAGGCAGGCUGAAAAAAAAAGUGUGCCGCAUCUGUGACAUAACUAUGAGAUGACAUUAUUUUCUCUUUUUCUUUUUUUUUUCUUCUUCCACGAGUAAUUUCCUAAUCAAAGCCCAGAAGUUGUUGAGCUAAUGAAAAUGUCACCUGCAAUUUGAUGGAGAUAGUUUUGAUUACCUAGGUGUCAUCAUGCAUACUGCAGUGUUUUCUCAAUGACUGCAGAAUAUCUCAUUUUCCUCCCCUGAGUACAGGCUCAUUGAUAACUGGAGGAAUGAUGCAGAGAAACAUGAGCUGUGUGGCUGGUAGUUAUCAGCCUCACACACCGCACCAGUUCCUCAAUAUGUCAGGACUUCUAUCAGAAUGAGUAAAGCUGGUUAAUGGCUUUUCAGUGCUAAAUGAGUUAAUUGAUAAUCAUGCACCUUCAGAUUUAAAACAUUGCCAAAAAUAGUCCUGAUGCACACAGCAAAUUUGUGAAAUUGUGUACUAUUGGUGCCAAUUGCUUUGCAUCAGACCCAAAAUAUUGUGCAAUGUAAUCAGUACCAAUAGUACACGAGGGCUGAACACCAGUGUGUGUAGUUUUUGACAAAGAAAAAUAAAUACACCUCUGGCAACAUCUUUCACACAUUCCAGUCAAAUUCACCAACCUCUG